rnacentral:rRNA from 1 species
UACGUAGGGUGCGAGCGUUAAUCGGAGUUACUGGGCGUAAAGCGUGCGCAGGCGGUUCGUUAAGUCAGAUGUGAAAGCCCCGGGCUCAACCUGGGAACUGCAUUUGAAACUGGCGGGCUUGAGUGCGGCAGAGGGGGGUGGAAUUCCGCGUGUAGCAGUGAAAUGCGUAGAGAUGCGGAGGAACACCGAUGGCGAAGGCAGCCCCCUGGGCCGACACUGACGCUCAGGCACGAAAGCGUGGGGAGCAAACAGG